UAAAAAAAAACUUCUUACUUACUCUGAAACUCCUUUUAUAGCCAAAUGUUCCAAUACUCUGCUCAAGCUUCUCUCUCGUUUUCUCCUUUCCCGAGCGUCUAGCAUAGAUAACAUCACCCUACAAGAUGUUGUUUAUGAAGAACACAAACUCAAAUGGAGAAAAGACCUACAUGGGAAAGUGUUAACGGAAGGAAGGCCUAGAUGGGAAGGUGUUUUGGAGACGGAGAGUAAUAUAUGAUGGUGGGAGAGAAUCUUAUGGAACAGACAAGUCGAUAUGAACCUUAGAGAAAUGUGUCAUACUUUGAUUAUGUGUCAAACGAAUAAGUGAGGAUGUAAUAAGUGAGUAAGAGUGAUUAUAUGAUGUAAUAAGUGUAGUGUGUGUGUGACGUAGUGUGACUGCUGGUAAAUUUGUGAAGUGUCUAGAUGAGAUAGUGAGGAUGUGGAUGAUAUAGGUAGAAUGUGGGUGUAUGUGUUGUAUAGGGUGUGGAGGAUGGUAUAGAUGAAUGUGUUGGUUGUGGUCGUGUGUAGAUGAGAUGAAUGUGUAAUUUUAAAGCUAUAACUGUAACUUAAUUUCUCAUAAUAAUUAAUAAAUCUAAAGACGAUAAAAAACUGUAACUUAA